rnacentral:rRNA from 1 species
UGUUCGGAUCGCGGCGACGUGGGCGGUUCGCUGACCGCGACGUCGCGAGAAGUCCACUGAACCUUAUCAUUAAGAGGAAGGAGAAGUCGUAACAAGGUUUCCGUAGGUGAACCUGCGGAAGGAUCAUU